rnacentral:rRNA from 1 species
GACGAACGCUGGCGGCGUGCUUAACACAUGCAAGUCGAACGGUGAAGCGCCUUCCUUUUUGGUGGGUGUGGAUGAGUGGCGAACGGGUGAGUAACACGUGAGUAACCUGCCCCCUUCUUCUGGAUAACCGCAUGAAAGUGUGGCUAAUACGGGAUAUUCUGGGUCUGUCGCAUGAUGAGUCUGGGAAAGAUAUUGUUUCGGUGGGGGAUGGGCUCGCGGCCUAUCAGCUUGUUGGUGGGGUGAUGGCCUACCAAGGCGGUGACGGGUAGCCGGCCUGAGAGGGUGGACGGUCACACUGGGACUGAGACACGGCCCAGACUCUUACGGGAGGCAGCAGUGGGGAAUAUUGCACAAUGGGCGCAAGCCUGAUGCAGCGACGCCGCGUGAGGGAUGGAGGCCUUCGGGUUGUGAACCUCUUUCGCCAGUGAAGCAGGCCUGCCUCGUUUGUGGGUGGGUUGACGGUAGCUGGAUAAGAAGCGCCGGCUAACUACGUG